GUGACCUUACUUCCGGCGAGCAAUAUGGCCACUUCUAAUAAUCACCAGUCAAAAGUGUUGAAGGGGUGGUGUGUCAAGAACACAUAGUGUCUCGAUGUCUCUGCAAGAAUUAUCUAUGCUGCAUUGACGGGUUCUUUCCGCAUCGCCAACUUUUCGACCCAUGUAUGGGGCUAUUGCUUUGCGCAUAUAACUUCUGGGAUUUGUGGGAUCGUUGCUGCUGCGAUCAAAAGAACUGGUCUCUACAUCACCCACCUCGUGUUAAGCAUACUGGCCCUUUGCGUGAUGGCCUACGUCACUUACUUGUUUGCCUUCAGCGCCAUCGGCCUCUGCUUUAGCAGAUGUGAUUGGACGGCCAUUGUCAUUAUGAUCAUCCUCAUCCAUGCCUGCCUGCUCACACUGGCCAAUUGCAUCGUGUCUGGUAUCCUUUCCCAGGAUCCGUCACCCAUACCAACUCAACAAGUGCCCCAAAUUGCUACUGUAGAAAUGAGCAGCACCAGACACGUGACCCCCCAGUAUGUGACACCCCAGGGCACCUACUUGCCACCUGACGGAGCCUACAUGACAUACAUGACACCCGAAGGAGGCUACGUGACACCCUCGGACCCACCUCUGCCACAACACCAUGACCCGCCUACGCCCCAAUACAAUGACGAACCUCCGCCCUAUAGCUAAUACCACGACAUCGUCAAAAACGUUGCUUGCUAGGCAGUGGGGAAGAAUACCUUUUUGUGUAGCCGACUGUUUUUACACUCGGCCAAUAUGACAGUUAUAACCAAAAACUAGCUGCUGUAUUUGUUACCACUCGUUUGUACAGAUGUUAAUGUUUAAAAUUAACAUUAUUUUCAUAGAUACCCUUUUUCUGAUAAACCGUAUUCUGCAAUAUUUAGGGGCGGGGUGGGUAGUGUUUAUCGUUUAAAGUCAUUAACAUUUUGUGCUUUGUAGUGCACUUAAUUCAUAUUAUGUUAACAUAUUCUCACAGUUUUCGUUCAGAUGAUACAUAUAUUGUCUAAUAUAAGAUUAUCGGCAAAGUGACAAUGGAAGACAAAUAGGCACAAGCAGCAAUUUAUGGCUCCAUGCUCUUUUCUUGCUUUAGCUCUAAAGAACUUAAUUAGCCAUUAAGAACUUCCUGAAUCUUGUAUGGAUCCUGUCACUUCCAGUAAUGGAAAGUGUUCCUUCAUUUACUUUAACCAGGAAUUAUCAUCGUCCUAGCUUAGAUACAAACCAUUGUGUACUGGUUUUGGAUCAUGACACUUGCGACUUUGGAGACAGUUCUGAACUUUUAAGAAGGUUGAGGUUCCAUUGCAACCUUGGCAUUUGCACUAACUGAAUGGAUGACAUCACCUCAGGUUUGGACAUACUGAUGAAAGAAGAAUGUGAAGACUUUCAACACGUUGUUCAGUCGUAUUUAACGGCACACGGAAGAUUAUAUUCAGGUUGAAAAGGGAACAGUUCUCUAAACCUCUAUCCUGGCAUGUAUUGCCGGUCCCAAAGAAUGCCGGUUUGGAGGGCUUCCACUGUAUUUAUGGUGCUAGUCAAAAUCUGGAAGUACCGGAAGUCCGGGAAGUUUGGAUUAAUUCAUUACAAAGCAUACUGUCUUAAAUUUAUGAAUAUCACUUGGGAAAAUGAACCUCAAAACAGAAGAACCCUUUGUUCAAACAUUCAGGAAAACAGAAAAUAUCGUGACCUUAGCUGAAAAAAGGUGCAAGGUUCAAUGUGAUUCACAUGAUAUGAAUUCAAAUGUAAGUCUAUCUUAAACAACGAAACAAACGUUUCCAGUGAUCUAUUUUCAAGAAUAUAUGCAAAAAUUACCUUGGACAUUCUUUUGAUUUACAUCAGACCCCCGUCCAUUGAAGUGCAGCUAAUGGGAGCAUUUCAGCUAUUUUAAGGAUGCUUCCUUAUGUCAAACAUAGAACUUAAGUGCUGAGAAUAUCCAAUCUUGACUAUCCUGAGGAACAGAUUCCAUUUGGUGUAAAGGAAGAAUAGAUGUGAAAAUCAAGAUG
rnacentral:misc_RNA from 1 species